rnacentral:rRNA from 1 species
AUGGUAUUAAAUGAGUCAAGUUUCUUUCCAGCAACCCAACAGGAAGAAAUAGAUUCUACACUAGUGCCCACUGGUCUGGGGAAUAAAUGUCUAACUUCUUUCCAAACCAGCUUGGCCACCAAACAAUCAAAGAAAAGGUGCGGUACACUUUCAUUUUCAGCACAGAAAACACAUCCCAAUGGUUUGUUCAUCAUUCUUUUCUGCAAAUUAUCUCUAGUCAUGAUUUAUUGUAUGAAACUAACCAGAGGAAUAUAUGUAUCCUGGGGGAACAACCAGUUUCCAAACAGCAGGGAUAAACACAGGUGUCACUCCCCAAUAAUUGAUGAUAGCAUUCAGUGA